UACAGAGGGUGCGAGCGUUGUCCGGAAUCACUGGGCGUAAAGGGCGCGUAGGCGGCUUCUCAAGCGUGCGGUGAAAGCUCGGGGCUUAACUCCGAGUCUGCCGUGCGAACUGGGAGGCUUGAGUCUGGUGGGGGUCGAUGGAAUUCCGGGUGUAGCGGUGGAAUGCGUAGAGAUCCGGAAGAACACCGGUGGCGAAGGCGGUCGACUGGGCCAGAACUGACGCUGAGGCGCGACAGCGUGGGGAGCAAACAGG
rnacentral:rRNA from 1 species